GGGGAAUAUUGCACAAUGGGCGCAAGCCUGAUGCAGCAACGCCGCGUGAGGGACGACGGCCUUCGGGUUGUAAACCUCUUUUAGCAGGGAAGAAGCGAAAGUGACGGUACCUGCAGAAAAAGCACCGGCUAACUACGUGCCAGCAGCCGCGGUAAUACGUAGGGUGCAAGCGUUAUCCGGAAUUAUUGGGCGUAAAGAGCUCGUAGGCGGUUUGUCGCGUCUGCUGUGAAAUCCCGAGGCUCAACCUCGGACCUGCAGUGGGUACGGGCAGACUAGAGUGCGGUAGGGGAGAUUGGAAUUCCUGGUGUAGCGGUGGAAUGCGCAGAUAUCAGGAGGAACACCGAUGGCGAAGGCAGAUCUCUGGGCCGUAACUGACGCUAAGGAGCGAAAGGGUGGGGAGCAAAC
rnacentral:rRNA from 1 species